CUAACGUUAAUCAUUAAGGCUUAAAGGAUCCGUAGAACGAUAUAUAAUUUCCUAAUAAACUGAGAUUUUAACUUAAAGUUAAAAAGUGAGGAGGAAAUAAAUAAAAAUAUAUUAGAGUUUUAAGUAUGAUUAAAGAAUAAUUAUAGUAAAGAUGAAAUAAUUAUGAUAAUAAUUAGACUGUUAAAGGUGAAAACAUUAAUCAAAAAUAAAACUGACGUUGAGGGAUGAAGGCAUAAGUAGCAAAACGGAUUCGAUACCCGAUUAGUUUAUGCAGUAAACGAUGAAUACUUCUAUAAAUAAAAUUUGUAGUAAGUGAAAACGUAAGUAUUCCGCCUGGUGAGUAUAUUCGCAAGGAUGAAAUCCAAGACAAUAGACGGUUACAGAUAAAGGCAGUGGAUUGU
rnacentral:rRNA from 1 species